GACAGUGACGUCAGGGGGGCGCCCGGUGUCGGUACCAGAUGACCGUUGUCGGCAUAGAUAUAUAUAGAACACAGUGAAUAUAGAAUAUAUUAUGUAUAUAAUAUAAAAUAUAUAUAGAACAAUGUUCUAUAUAUAUCUAUGGUUGUGGGUACCAGAUUGAUUCGGCUGCCAGAUCGACUCGGGGUCCUGGAUUCACAAUAAUAACGCACAUUCUGUAAACGCUGUCUUUUAAAUGCGCAUGCGCGUUUCAUUCAUUAUUUUCCAUGGUUAUUCCGCUCUAUAGAAAUGGAAGCGUUUUUUACCGAAGUAAAGCAUUAACUGAAGCUAAACCAACAGCCUAAUCACCGCCCUAAUCUCAGAAGGCAGGACAUUGGACAAGUUCAUGGCAUCCUACCACUGGUCAACCUUGCGAGAGGAUGAGAACAAAUCGUUGAGUUUUGGUACUUUUUGAAAGGUUGAUGAAUGUCCCCGCUGUCAGCAUCAUGAGGUGAUGAAGACUGUGGCACCUGUCCUUCAUCCAAUUGAUGCCAGCAAGGCAUGAAGUGACCUUGGGGUUGACCUAAUUGGUCCCCUUCCCACUACCGCAUAGGGCAAAAGUUAGCUUUUAUACAUGGCUGAUGUAUGUGUAACCACAUUUAAAGAUAGUCAAUGCAAAAUAUUUGGUUUAAAGGAAAACUAGUGACAGGGAUGGAUGUCUACGAUUAUUACUACAUUUACAACAUUUUAUGUUGCAGAUUUAUUCUGACAGCAACAGACCUUUUCACAAAGUGAGUUUUGGCAAAACCCCUGUGCACCAAAACAGCUGUUGAGGUGUCCAGAAAAAUUGUGAACAUUCUCCUCGACUUCGGUCUGGUCGACAGAAUUAUAACCGAAUAGGCCUGUCACACUUCCUGCUUCCGGAACACGUAGUAGGGUAAUCCAACUUCCGGUCGCGUCUAGCAGCAACAACAAUGGCAGCCCCCGUUCGCAGUUGUUCUUGUAGUGUACCGUGUUGCUCUACAUCAGGACGUAGACAGCCAUACCUCAGCUUCCACGCUUUCCUGAAGGACGAAAUAAAUCUUGGGUGAGAUUAAUUUUUGCCCAGUACUGUCCUUACGUGCGAGUGAUUCUAGACUGCACAGAAAUCAGGUGUGAGGCACUCUAAUCACUCACCCUCCAGUCUGAAACAUUCUCCCACUACAAGAAUACCAACACCUUCAAAGGUCUGAUUGGCAUUGCUCCAUGUGGAGUUAUCACCUUCAUUUCUAAGCUGUACACUGGUUCCAUAUCAGACAGAGAAAUCACACAGCAGUCAGGAAUCCUGAGUCUACUUCAGCCAGGAGAUGCAUCCAUGGCUGACAAAGGCUUUGUCAUCAAGAUGCUUUCUGAAGUUGGGGCUACCCUCAUAAUGCCGCCAUUUAAAAGAGGCGCCAGGUUCACCAGAGGACACCGAAAAAACCCAGAGUAUCGCCCGACUUAGAAUCUUGGUGGAGAGGGCCAUCAGAAGGGUCAAAGAAUAUCAUAUCUGGGACACGACCAUUCCUCUGACUCUUUCAGGCUCUGUCAAUCAGCUGUGGGUAAAUUGUUGCUUGAUUUUUAACCAUCAAGGUCCUUUAGAUGUGAAGGGCGAUGUCCCAGUGUUACACAUUAAAACACAUGACAUCACAUGACUAUUUUCAAACGUUUAAUGUUCUGUUUAUAUUUAACAGAAAGAAAUUAAAAUGAAAUUGUGUGUG